GAGUUAAAGAUUAGCAACAGUGUUGAAAAGCAUCAGACUUGACAUCCAUCCAUCCAUCCAUCAUCCAUCCAUCCAUCCAUCAUCCAUCCAUCCAUCCAUCCAUCCAUCAUCCAUCCAUCCAUCCAUCAUCCAUCCAUCCAUCAUCCAUCCAUCAUCCAUCCAUCCAUCCAUCAUCCAUCAUCCAUCCAUCCAUCCAUCCAUCAUCCAUCAUCCAUCCAUCAUCCAUCCAUCCAUCCAUCCAUCAUCCAUCCAUCAUCCAUCCAUCCAUCAUCCAUCCAUCUAUCCAUCCAUCCAUCCAUCCAUCCAUCCAUCCAUCAUCCAUCCAUAAUAAUUCCAUUGUCUGCCCCCCUACAUGGCACAGUAG
rnacentral:lncRNA from 1 species